CUCUUACCGCCCGGGUCCGCACCGGCCCAAUGUGGGGCGGCCUGACCCGGGACACCUCGAAAUGGAGCGCAACUGCAAUUCAGUGUUGUAUCACGGGUAACUACAAGGACAUGGACACGAGAGACGACAAGGCAUCAGCUGCCUCAGUUUAGAAGCUUUUUUCAGCUGUUUUCAUCCUGUUCCUUCAAAUGAAGAUUCACGGUUUUACGCCUUAUUACCACCUUGGGGUGCUGUCUAGCAGGGAAGAAGCAUUGCUGAUGGCUCAUUUUGUCACAAAGCAAGGCAGCAAAAUGGAAGAUGACAGAAACACAUUCAGUUUCUCUAUUCCUGUGGGAAGAGGCUCGAAUCACACUCGUACUUCAGGAGAACGUUGUGCCGGACCUGCUGUGCUGCACAGAGUGCUGCUUUGGGGCACAGCCAGCUCACAUUGGCAGAGCUGAACGGCCUGCACGGAAGAGGAGGCUUCAGUCACGUUUUUGUAUGAAGCAGAAAAUAAGGAUCCGCAAAGGCAUACUGUGGUUGCACUUGGAAAAUACCUGAUAAGCACUCAAAAGCUGCUUUGUACAGAUAAACAACCAACAUGCAUGACAGUUUGUAGCUUUUCUUCUGAGCUGAAGAAUUUACCUGGUUCGCGCAGCAUGGUUUAUUUCAGUAGGCAGGAAAAAAUGUCUUUUCACUUGUGUUCUCAGUAGCUGUAUUGUCAUGUUUUGGUUUUGGCAUGUGCCACUUCUCUGGCACAUACUCAGAUACACGUUGUUUGUUUUCCCUACUCAGAGUUACUGUCUGAAUACUGUACAUUUCCAUAGGACUUCCAAACACCAGCAGCCCAGCUGCAGUGCACUUGUCCCUCUCUGUGUCCCUUUUCUUCUCUGCUGUCAUUUUUCUCCAGCUUUGCCCUGGAUCUGUGUCUUCUGUGAGCUCUGUGGGGACAGGACAUCCCGGGCUCCUGUUUGCUGUCCAUUGCGCCCCCAGAUCAGCUGCUGCACAAUCAUUGCCCAUCCUGCCAGUGUGCUGGUCCUUCCACAGUGCCGUAGUUUGUCCCAGCCUUCACUGGACAAACCAUCACUGGGGCUGGUCAAGAUCAUUUUAAUGCCAGCCC
rnacentral:lncRNA from 1 species